CCGCUAUGACCAUUACUGGGUAGAGAUGUAACGGCUGGAGAUGGUGGACAGCCUGCAAUGCAUGUGACAGUCCCAUUCUUGUGAGCUGCAUGAUUUUUGAACACCCCACUGAACAUUUGCACAGAACUUUUCCAAGAGUUGUUCACCAUUCUGGAAAAUCACAUCAGCAAUGUCAACACCACUCAUGGAAUUUGAAUCUCCAUUGCAAGAAACCUGUGUGGGCCUGCACUGGUAGCUGCCACAUUCAAGGUGAUGCUGGGUAUGGACACGAGCGCCUGCAACUUUGUCAUUUAUUCUAGUGCAGUCCUGCUGAGCAUGUGCAUGUUGAAAUGCGUGCUAUUUCAUUGUAAAUUAUUUUCCUUUUAA